rnacentral:rRNA from 1 species
AACGAACGCUGGCGGCAGGCUUAGCACAUGCAAGUCGAACGAGAUCUUCGGAUCUAGUGGCAGACGGGUGAGGAACACGUGGGAACAUCCCUUUCAGUUCGGAAUAACGUUGGGAAACUAACGCUAAUACCGGAUACGUCCUUCGGGAGAAAGAUUUAUCGCUGAAAGAUUGGCCCGCGUCUGAUUAGCUAGUUGGUGAGGUAACGGCUCACCAAGGCUACGAUCAGUAGCUGAUCUGAGAGGAUGAUCAGCCACAUUGGGACUGAGACACGGCCCAAACUCCUACGGGAGGCAGCAGUGGGGAAUAUUGGACAAUGGGCGCAAGCCUGAUCCAGCCAUGCCGCGUGAGUGAUGACGGCCUUCGGGUUGCAAAACUCUUUUGUCCGGGAAGAUAAUGACUGUACCGGAAGAAUAAGCCCCGGCAAACUUCGUGCCAGCCGCCGCGGUAA